GCGCCGGUAGCUCAGCGGAUUAGAGCAUCUGACUACGGAUCAGAAGGCCGGGGGUUCGAAUCCUCUCCGGCGCU
rnacentral:tRNA from 1 species